rnacentral:misc_RNA from 1 species
UUAACUAUUAUAUAGUACUCAGACGACACUAAUAUUCAGGGUUUUGGGUUCUCUGGCGGGCACACACCAGCCGAGGCCGGUGGAGGGGCGAACCACAGUCGUCCCGCCAAAGCAACAUAGUAAUAAUAACAUAGGGUGGGAGAUCUACCCGUAAGGGCAAGAACUCUGUAAUGAUCCCUCCGCAGGUUCACCUACGGAGA